rnacentral:lncRNA from 1 species
AAACCGGCGGGGUACGUAAAUAUAUAUGACGACAAUAAUAAUAAUAAUAAUAAUAAUAAUAAUAAUAAAUGUGCAGUGGUUAAAAGAUUAACGACGACCACGACCGUAACGAAAUUUUUCCCGUCGUAAGUUUACCAUGGUUCGAUCCCGUUCCGUAAUUUUUUUCUACCUUUAUAGUGGCCGCAUGGAAACGCCGAAUCGAGACGAGAUAAUAUUAAAAAAACAUUUAUUUGUGUAGGAAUCGUGAGGAAACACUUUUAUAAAUCGUGUCCAAUCUACGGAACAAAAGAAAAAAAAAAGUUUUUAAAGAAAGAAAUUUUGUAUAUACGAGUGGUAGAACGGAUCCGUUUUUGCCAAUUUUUCAAUUAAUCAAAACGUUUUUGGUCGGUACGGAAAAUAAAUUAAUAAAAGACCAAGUGGUGGGGGUGGCUACGUCCUAGAAACCCAGAGUGGGUUUGGAGUGUCCGCGAGAAAAAACCCGAGGUUAAACUAAAUAAGAAUAAAAGAUAAGAAGGAAGAAAAAAUUAUUGUCCCCGCUUAUGUAAAACUGUAGAUGUAACCAUAUUUUGUGCACGAUCGUGUCAGUGUUGUAUGACUAUUUAAACGUAUAAAAAUAAAAAGGGUGCCAACGCACUAAUAAAUCGUCUGAUGUUUUGAUUGGCCGGAAGUGAACGGCGCCCGGUGAUUACCGCUAUUAAGGUUGGGGCCGCCCCACCCACCUUUCCUCCACACCGGAAACCCAGACCUAUCUAGGCCCGUUAAAAGAGGGGCCCCCAUUUUUCUUCCGGUAGCCGUCGGGCCAGGCUCUCCACCCAGGAGUCGUCCUACUCGGACUUUGCCCAUUUUUAAAUAUUUCGUAGCGGGGAAAAGCGGAGCGCGCCUAGUCCAUUCGACGGUAGGCUUUCCGAUAUUAAAUAUUUCUGGGCCGAGAGUCGAAUGGAGUUAAAAAUGGCGACGGAGAAUCCCAGGAAAAUUAAAGCGCUGAUAUAUAUUUACAUACCACGAAUAAUAAUAAAAUUUCUCUCAGGUUUCUGUUUGGAUUCGAGAUGGCUCGGCGCAGCUUUUUUCCCCGUGGCUAGCUCGGAGGAGCUUCUUUGGUCCGGAUUUGAAAUCUUAGAAGAUAAACAGUUCUCUUUUCACCCUCUAAUUUGGUUUUCGGUCCGAUAAAACGAAAUAUUCCGAGGACAUUUGUGGCGCCGCCAGCGGGGAACUGGUCUGGCUCCUCUUUCUCUUCUACAGAAAACGCCUAUUUACCUCCGGACGUUUUAACCUUCCAUCCUUCCUAUUUUCCG